AUGAACGCUAGCUACAGGCUUAACACAUGCAAGUCGAGGGGCAGCAUGGUCUUAGCUUGCUAAGACUGAUGGCGACCGGCGCACGGGUGAGUAACACGUAUCCAACCUGCCGUCUACUCUUGGACAGCCUUCUGAAAGGAAGAUUAAUACAAGAUGGCAUCAUGAGUCCGCAUGUUCACAUGAUUAAAGGUAUUCCGGUAGACGAUGGGGAUGCGUUCCAUUAGAUAGUAGGCGGGGUAACGGCCCACCUAGUCUUCGAUGGAUAGGGGUUCUGAGAGGAAGGUCCCCCACAUUGGAACUGAGACACGGUCCAAACUCCUACGGGAGGCAGCAGUGAGGAAUAUUGGUCAAUGGGCGAGAGCCUGAACCAGCCAAGUAGCGUGAAGGAUGACUGCCCUAUGGGUUGUAAACUUCUUUUAUAAAGGAAUAAAGUCGGGUAUGUAUACCCGUUUGCAUGUACUUUAUGAAUAAGGAUCGGCUAACUCCGUGCCAGCAGCCGCGGUAAUACGGAGGAUCCGAGCGUUAUCCGGAUUUAUUGGGUUUAAAGGGAGCGUAGAUGGAUGUUUAAGUCAGUUGUGAAAGUUUGCGGCUCAACCGUAAAAUUGCAGUUGAUACUGGAUAUCUUGAGUGCAGUUGAGGCAGGCGGAAUUCGUGGUGUAGCGGUGAAAUGCUUAGAUAUCACGAAGAACUCCGAUUGCGAAGGCAGCCUGCUAAGCUGCAACUGACAUUGAGGCUCGAAAGUGUGGGUAUCAAACAGGAUUAGAUACCCUGGUAGUCCACACGGUAAACGAUGAAUACUCGCUGUUUGCGAUAUACUGCAAGCGGCCAAGCGAAAGCGUUAAGUAUUCCACCUGGGGAGUACGCCGGCAACGGUGAAACUCAAAGGAAUUGACGGGGGCCCGCACAAGCGGAGGAACAUGUGGUUUAAUUCGAUGAUACGCGAGGAACCUUACCCGGGCUUGAAAGUUACUGACGAUUCUGGAAACAGGAUUUCCCUUUGGGGCAGGAAACUAGGUGCUGCAUGGUUGUCGUCAGCUCGUGCCGUGAGGUGUCGGCUUAAGUGCCAUAACGAGCGCAACCCUUGUUGUCAGUUACUAACAGGUUCCGCUGAGGACUCUGACAAGACUGCCAUCGUAAGAUGUGAGGAAGGUGGGGAUGACGUCAAAUCAGCACGGCCCUUACGUCCGGGGCUACACACGUGUUACAAUGGGGGGUACAGAGGGCCGCUACCACGCGAGUGGAUGCCAAUCCCCAAAACCUCUCUCAGUUCGGACUGGAGUCUGCAACCCGACUCCACGAAGCUGGAUUCGCUAGUAAUCGCGCAUCAGCCACGGCGCGGUGAAUACGUUCCCGGGCCUUGUACACACCGCCCGUCAAGCCAUGGGAGCCGGGGGUACCUGAAGUGCGUAACCGCGAGGAGCGCCCUAGGGUAAAACUGGUGACUGGGGCU
rnacentral:rRNA from 1 species